GCCCUAACCCCCAGUGUGAUUAUAUCUAGAGGUAGGUUCUCUAGGAAGUAAUUCAGAUUAAAUAAGGUCAUAAGGGUCAGGUUCUAAUCCAACAGGACUGUAGCCUUAAGAAGAAGAGGAAGAGGGAGAGAGAGAGAGCGAUCGAGAGAGAGAGAGAGAUCACUGCCAUGAGAGGACAUAGUGAGAAGGCGGCUGUCUGCAAGCCCGGAAGAGAGCACCGCAGGACCUUGAUCUGGGACUUCUAGCAUCCAGAACUGUGAGAAAAAAAUAUGAUGAUAAAAUCCAUUGACAAGAGCAUGGUGAAAGAGUUCUGGGAAAACAUACCUACAAAUGAGAAUACAACAAUUCUACAUGAAAUAUUAACAAUCUAAUAUGGCAUUAUAUUAAGAACCUAAAAGGACAAAUCAGGAUUCACUCAAGGAUACAAAGAUGGUUGGUACUGAAUAUUUUUUGUUGUCAUUUUUUAUACUUUUAGUGUCAUAUCAAAGAAUCUUUUGCCAAAUCCAAGAUCAUAAAGAUUUACUUCUAUAUUUUCUUUUAAGAGUUUUAUAUUUUAUUUAAGGUAUUUGAUCCAUUUUGUGUUAAUUUUUAUAUAUAGUGUGAGGAAAACAUCCAAAUUCCCUCUUUUGUAUAUGGUUAUUCAGUUGUCCUAGCACCAUUUGUUUAAAGGUUAUUUUUUUUCUUCAUUGAGUAGUGUGGCACUGUUGUAAAAAAAUCAACUGACUGUAAUAAAUGGGCUGCUUUGUAGACUCUUA